UUUAAUUGGGUAUUUUAUAGUAAACUUCCAAGCAUUGUGCAAAGGUCUUCGCCUCAUGCCCACUGCACCGUCCUAGAAAUCUAGAUGCCCCUAGCGGCAGCAAAUUUAAUUUGCAGCCAUGCAACCAAUAUCUUUCCGAUAUGGGUCUGGCUUGCCAGGUUACAAAGGUCUAGCUUCAGAUCUCAAGUCUCAGCUUCCGGUUCCCAGCUGCGAGUGACGUUUGAGGCUGUCAACGCCAGUAGGGUUAGGAUCGAUAACUUUCCUGAUCGUUCCACACGUCCAGUGGCGGCUGGCGAUCAAACAUGUUGGUGGGGCACAGUAAUAGACAGGGGGUCUGAGGUCCCCCCCCCCCAUAUUUGUAUUUAAUAGUUUUGAUUUCCUGUAUUCUGGUGCAUUUUGGGGAUGGCCACUACCUGUUUACCUACUUUUCAUUCCGAUUCAUAGCCUACAUCCUGACUUGCAGGGCCUGGACAAGCUUACACUGCAUAUAGACCUACCUCAUGGCCAUUCCACCAGCCAUUGCUAUUUGACCCAUUGUUAUUCUGAUAUUGAGACAAAUCAUGAUCACUGUCCCAGAGCUAUAGAGUUAUAUCUACCACUCUGCACUGUCCUAUAGCGUCCAUUUUUUGUGAUUCUCAAUGUCUACUUCAAAUGCAGUUAGAAAUAUGGGACAGUUGCUUCAUUUUGUUUGUAUGCUACAGGCCGAAAGACUAAAUAAAUAUGAAACUUACUUGCUCCUUUUAAGUAUAACAUUGAUUGGGGAGUCCAAUUCCUCCACUGAAAAGGGUGGAAAGUGCUUACAACUCUCUGCUAGUUAGCGAUCUAUCUCCUCUCUACAUGUAACCUAGUUGUGGUGCGCGAAUGCUGCUGAGGGAAGUAGCCUAUUUGAUUCGCUGAUUUGUCCAAUCAUGUGGUGAUAACAAAAAAAAAGAAGCGAUACCAUUGGCCUGGGGGGCACACUGGUGCGACCCGACGGCGAAUUUUCUUGAAAAUUGGAAAAAUUAGCGAGCUUACAUCGACUUCAUCGUGGCCAAGUCAGGCGCUCCUGACUUGGAGGAGGGCUUUAUUUCGAAUGACCAAUAACUAGCCUAGCCCAAAUCAUUGACGUUCAGACGCAUUUAAAUGGUUGCUGGAAGUGACAAGCAUGUCACACAAUUAAUCGAGGAUAAAUGCUAUGUAUUUUUGUUGAUUUAUUUCGUAAUGAUAAUAGUUAAUUAAUAGUUGACAGAUAUUCAAGUGAAUAUUUCACGGAGGGGCGGCGCCCUAGCGCCCCCUAUUGACCAACCGCCACCGGUCGUGAGAGUUGAUGGACGGAGGGGCCGAGGAGGUCGAAACGGAAUAAUGAAGUCCUGCAGGUGGGAAUUAAGGGGCUAAUCCGUGCGGGAUCUUUGGCUGUUCAAUGGGACUCAGCUCCCAGUUCCUCUAACGGUCUUCGAUUCAAGGAAACAGGAUUUAUUUUUAAUUAGAAUACAAAAAAGUUCUGAAAAGAAAGUGUUGUUGAAAUCAUUGUACACUGAACAAAGUGAAAACAUGAAAUUAAUCCAACGCGUGUUACACUAUUACAUACACUAUAUGUAGCUUAUACACCAAAGCGUGUGUUGGAGGCAUGAACGCUUUAAUUUCGUACAAAGUUUGCUAAAUUGUGAAAAAAUAAAUAAGAGACUGACCGCAUUUUGGUGUUUCAGGACUCGCUUUUUUUCUCAAGGAUUCUCCUGGUCGUCGAGAAAAAUAACUUAAGGGCUUACACUGUUGUUUUUUAUUGGUCUUCAUGAAAAAACACAUAAGGG
ensembl:lncRNA